UGCCCAUAAGACUGGGAUAACUCCGGGAAACCGGGGCUAAUACCGGAUAACAUUUUGAACUGCAUGGUUCGAAAUUGAAAGGCGGCUUCGGCUGUCACUUAUGGAUGGACCCGCGUCGCAUUAGCUAGUUGGUGAGGUAACGGCUCACCAAGGCAACGAUGCGUAGCCGACCUGAGAGGGUGAUCGGCCACACUGGGACUGAGACACGGCCCAGACUCCUACGGGAGGCAGCAGUAGGGAAUCUUCCGCAAUGGACGAAAGUCUGACGGAGCAACGCCGCGUGAGUGAUGAAGGCUUUCGGGUCGUAAAACUCUGUUGUUAGGGAAGAACAAGUGCUAGUUGAAUAAGCUGGCACCUUGACGGUACCUAACCAGAAAGCCACGGCUAACUACGUGCCAGCAGCCGCGGUAAUACGUAGGUGGCAAGCGUUAUCCGGAAUUAUUGGGCGUAAAGCGCGCGCAGGUGGUUUCUUAAGUCUGAUGUGAAAGCCCACGGCUCAACCGUGGAGGGUCAUUGGAAACUGGGAGACUUGAGUGCAGAAGAGGAAGUGGAAUU
rnacentral:rRNA from 1 species